UACGUAGGGUCCGAGCGUUGUCCGGAAUUACUGGGCGUAAAGAGCUCGUAGGUGGUUUGUCGCGUUGUUCGUGAAAACUCACAGCUUAACUGUGGGCGUGCGGGCGAUACGGGCAGACUUGAGUACUGCAGGGGAGACUGGAAUUCCUGGUGUAGCGGUGGAAUGCGCAGAUAUCAGGAGGAACACCGGUGGCGAAGGCGGGUCUCUGGGCAGUAACUGACGCUGAGGAGCGAAAGCGUGGGGAGCAAACAGG
rnacentral:rRNA from 1 species